rnacentral:rRNA from 1 species
GUCCGCACCGUAAACGAUGAUUACUCGUUGUUGGCAAUAUGACCGUCAGCGACCAAGCGAAAGCGAUAAGUAAUCCACCUGGGGAGUACGCCGGCAACGGUGAAACUCAAAGGAAUUGACGGGGGCCCCGCACAAGCGGAGGAGCAUGUGGUUUAAUUCGAUGAUACGCGAGGAACCUUACCUGGGCUUGAAAGUUAGUGACCGGUUCUGAAAGGAACUUUUCCGCAAGGACACGAAACUAGGUGCUGCAUGGCUGUCGU